rnacentral:rRNA from 1 species
GAUGAACGCUGGCGGCGUGCCUAACACAUGCAAGUCGAGCGAAGCGCUUAGAUUGGAUUCUUCGGAUGAAGAUCUUUGUGACUGAGCGGCGGACGGGUGAGUAACGCGUGGGCAACCUGCCUUACACAGGGGGAUAACAGUUAGAAAUGACUGCUAAUACCGCAUAAGACCGCAGUACCGCAUGGUACAGCGGUAAAAACUCCGGUGGUGUAAGAUGGGCCCGCGUCUGAUUAGGUAGUUGGUGGGGUAACGGCCCACCAAGCCGACGAUCAGUAGCCGACCUGAGAGGGUGACCGGCCACAUUGGGACUGAGACACGGCCCAGACUCCUACGGGAGGCAGCAGUGGGGAAUAUUGCACAAUGGGGGAAACCCUGAUGCAGCGACGCCGCGUGAGCGAUGAAGUAUUUCGGUAUGUAAAGCUCUAUCAGCAGGGAAGAAAA